rnacentral:lncRNA from 1 species
GAUAAGAAGCAUACCUGUAGUGCUAAUCUUAAUUUUCAUGAGGUAUCCAAGUGUCUGCCCUCUAACGGUGAUCCACAUGGAAAUUGAAUCAAAGACAGCGCUCUAUCUUGCUUCAAGAGUUCUAGUCCUUAGAACUCGACUAGCCUCAUACCGGUCAGGUUUCUCCAAGAACCUGACUCCACCCUCUUAGAACCUCCUUUAGACUUCUAAUUCUCCUUCUUUAGAAUCCUUACAAUUCUUGUUAGGAUCAGAUAAGGUUUUGUCUUAAAUCCUAAAGUUUUGUCCUAAAACUAAGGUUGUAAGAAAGAAAGGAGAGUAAUCGAAGAGAAAUUGAAAACCCGAUCUGAAUACCUUAGACGUCCAGCACCUAAGCCCUUUUAUAGCCAUCGGAGAGGCGUCAAAGGAGAGAGACACGCCUCAUCCAAGAGGCCUAUCUGAUCUGAUUAUCAGAGAUAAAGAGUUUCUUCAAACAGGACUUAUCAAUGAUACGUCAAUCAGCACCCUGCUCUGCGCGUGCGACCAGAGAAGGGAUGUUUUCGCAUCCCUUCUCAAAUCAAAAAAAUCUUUAAAAAUCCACGUGGAUAGGAGAUUCAAUCCGGAUCUUCGAUCACCUAAUAAGAUCAAAAAAUCCAUGAAGAGAUGUGAUCUCGCAUCCUUUCAUGCGAAGUUUGAUCACCACACGCGCGUGCGAGGAAGAUUCCAGCAUCCGUUUGGCCAUUUGAUAAAUCUGAAAAAAUUUCAUAAAAAUCAUCAAAAAUAGCUUAUCAAAUAUGGAACAUUAUCACAAAAAAUCAUUCCAAUUUGAAAGUAUUUGAUCAGGAGAAGGACUCUCCAAAUCGUGGGGAGACGCAACGCUUCUGCGCGUGCAUGCCAGACAUCCUUCUUUUUUUAAUUUUUUCUUCACCCCAAAAAAUUCAAAAAAAAUACAUCUUAUGCUUUGAGAUGUACACCAGAGGAUGGAGGGUGAUAUGGGCUGCUACACACAUCUUAAUCCCACGCCAAAAGGACUCCUGCCCACGCCAACAUGCAUGCGCAAAAUUUGUUUUGCACCAAGAGUCCACAACUUGGACUCUUCAUAAUUGGCGUUAACAUGGGAUGUGGCACCCUAAUUUAGGCUGCUUUCAGGUGGCACGAUUUGACUCAAAUGCCCACCAAAUUGGGUUAGCAAAUUGGCAAGGGAUGAGAUCAAAUUGAUCUCCAGAGGAGCAAGGGUUUUCACACGUGCUAGCAUGCUUACAGGAAUCCUGAUUGAAUCCAAAAUUUCAAUCAAUCUUUUUCAAAAGGAUCCUUGGCCAAUUUUUAUAUGUGUGUGAUCCAUUGGGUUCCACAUCUAGCCAGCAGCAGGUCUGGAUGCAAGUUGAUCAAAUUUGAUUAGAUUCUAAUCUAAUCGAUUAAGAUCUAAUUGAGCUAACCCGAGCUCAACAAUUAAAAUUCUUUCUAAUCGGCGAUCGAAUUAAACUCUUUAAUUCGAUCAAAAACCUACAAAUCAAGAUUGACGUCUAGCAACAUAUCAUGACUACCCAGAAGUUGUGGAAUUUGGUGAAAAUACCAAAUAUACCCUUCAGUGACA